AGUGCAUCCAGCACAUGUCCGUCCGACUGAAAAUCGGAAGGUCGGCGGUUCGGCCCCGCCACUGGCCACCA
rnacentral:tRNA from 1 species